UGGGGAAUCUUGCGCAAUGGGCGAAAGCCUGACGCAGCCACGCCGCGUGAGUGAUGAAGGCCUUCGGGUCGUAAAGCUCUGUUGAGGGGGAAGAAGCUCUGACGGUACCCCUUUAGAAAGCACCGGCUAACCCUGUGCCAGCAGCCGCGGUAAUACAGGGGGUGCAAGCGUUGUUCGGAAUCACUGGGCGUAAAGCGUACGCAGGCGGCUCGCAAGGUCGGGUGUGAAAUCCCGGGGCUCAACCCCGGAACUGCAUUCGAAACCGUCGGGCUUGAGUACGGGAGAGGAGAGCGGAAUUCCUGGUGUAGAGGUGAAAUUCGUAGAUAUCAGGAGGAACACCGGUGGCGAAAGCGGCUCUCUGGCCCGAUACUGACGCUCAUGUACGAGAGCGUGGGGAGCA
rnacentral:rRNA from 1 species